GAGUCUAGCAUGUGCGCGAGUCAUUGGGACUAUAACGAAACCUAAAGGCGUAAUGAAAGUGAAGGUCCGCCUAGCGCGGGCCGAGGGAGGAUGGGUGUCCCCGAGAGGACGCCUCGCACUCCCAGGGCGUCUCGUUCUCAUUGCGAGAAGAGGCGCACCAAGAGCGUACACGCUGGGACCCGAAAGAUGGUGAACUAUGCCUGGUCAGGACGAAGUCAGGGGAAACCCUGAUGGAGGUCCGUAGCGAUUCUGACGUGCAAAUCGAUCGUCGGAACUGGGUAUAGGGGCGAAAGACUAAUCGAACCAUCUAGUAGCUGGUUCCCUCCGAAGUUUCCCUCAGGAUAGCUGGCGCUCGCUUCUCGCGAGUCUCAUUCGGUAAAGCGAAUGAUUAGAGGCAUUGGGGUCGAAACGGCCUCAACCUAUUCUCAAACUUUAAAUGGGUGAGAUCUCCGGCUUGCUUGAACUGUGAAGCCGCGAGAUAUCGGAUCAGAGUGCCAAGUGGGCCACUUUUGGUAAGCAGAACUGGCGCUGUGGGAUGAACCAAACGCUGAGUUAAAGCGCCUAAAUCGACGCUUAUGGGAUACCAUGAAAGGCGUUGGUAACUUAAGACAGCAGGACGGUGGCCAUGGAAGUCGGA
rnacentral:rRNA from 1 species